UACGAAGGGGGCUAGCGUUGCUCGGAAUUACUGGGCGUAAAGGGCGCGUAGGCGGCCUGUUAAGUCGAACGUGAAAUCCCCAAGCUUAACUUGGGAACUGCGUCCGAUACUGGCAGGCUUGAAUUCGGGAGAGGGAUGUGGAAUUCCAGGUGUAGCGGUGAAAUGCGUAGAUAUCUGGAGGAACACCGGUGGCGAAGGCGGCAUCCUGGACCGACACUGACGCUGAGGAGCGAAAGCCAGGGGAGCAAAACGGGG
rnacentral:rRNA from 1 species